CUGGGAGUGAAGAGAGCGAGGCAGCACGAGAAAGUAUUCACAAAAUCUCUGCAGGAUGAAGAAGGCUGUGCAUGCUGUUUUGGUGCUGUGGGUGGUCUCUUUUCCAGUGGGAGUCUUGGGCAAGUCAAUCUUCGAGAAGCUCUGGACGCUGGAAAAUGCACAGAACCGAGACCUGUUCCUCAGUGCUCUUCAGUCGUAUUUCAGUGACAGGGGCAUGUACGUGGAUCGCACAGCUCCAGAGUUCCCAGCGCUGGUGCUGAAGAGCAUGCAGGUCAGGGCAGCUCAGAGGAAAGAAAGAUACUCUGAUUACCUGGAGUCGUCCAUGGAAAACAUAUAUCCCACAGGUUAAAGCA